CUAUGGAUCACUCGUUUCGUAUUUUUCGUUUCGUGCGUGUGCGUUUUGAGUGCUUUUCCUCCUAUCUUUUUGUUUUUUCGCCGACCACUGCUUUGUUUUACGGAUUUUGACCCUACCUGCAUUGCCUGAACGACCCCUGCUUUCAACCUGGACUCUGGAUCUUGCUUACACGUCUGACUUGGAAUGUUUUCUUUGGACUUUACUACCGGCUUAAGAACUGGAUAUUGACGCUAUGGAUCGCUGUGUAAAUUGUGGAAUAGACACUAGUCGCUGCAAUGCACUAGGCAGACGAUCCAUAAACGAUGAGUCUACUCUGCAUGUGAUUCAACAAUGGCUUGCACCUCAGACUGUUAAUAACAGUGACUAUGUUUGCCAAGCAUGCUGGGACUUGGCUUAAAGCCGAUAUAAUGAUGAAGAAAGACAACUUGGCCACCAUAAUGUUUGUCUUCGCUGUGGACGUCCUCUUGCUUCAGCACGAGUUACUCAUUUACUCUACACUAACUCCCAUCGAGAACUGAGAAUAUAUAAUGUUAUACGAGAGUGGAUUACCUAUACCUCGAGCUGUACCCGAAGAUGGUUGCAUAUGUCAUACAUGCUGAGUGGCUGCAGACAGAGCUGCUGUCCAUAUGAACUCAGGACCAUCAACUUCAUCCCGAGGAAUACCCCCUGAAGAAAUACAGCCAGAGACACAACAUCCAAUUACCGACUCUCGAAGUGGAAUGGAAGCAAUACUAAAACAUUAUUGUAACUGCAUUGUAGGUAGACGAACUGUAGGCUGCUGCGCCCAUAUCAUGUCGAUAAUAUGGUACCAAGACCAUUUAGUACCACCUGCACAGUUCUUAGAUGAUAUUUUAAUUAUUAUAGAAGACGAAUAAAAUCAUUAAGUAAAGAAAAAUGUUUUAA